rnacentral:rRNA from 1 species
GCGUUGUUCGGAUUUACUGGGCGUAAAGGGCGCGUAGGCGGCGUGACAAGUCACUUGUGAAAUCUCUGGGCUCAACUCAGAACGGUCAAGUGAUACUGUCGUGCUAGAGUGCGGAAGGGGCAACUGGAAUUCUCGGUGUAGCGGUGAAAUGCGUAGAUAUCGAGAGGAACACCUGCGGCGAAGGCGGGUUGCUGGGCCGACACUGACGCUGAGGCGCGAAAGCUAG